CUCCAACUUGGAGAUCAUUAUCCUCUCACUCUCUCGUUCUCUCUCCUAGGUUCCCAGCCGGCGUUGCUGCUCUCCCUCUCUGCAAGGCAGCGUGUGGCAGCCGGCUGGAGAGUAGCAGGGCUCGUUGGCCGGUGGGAGUAGAGUGGCUGCUCUUCUCUCCCUCCCAGAUCUCCACCCCCUCGGCUCCGGCUCACUCGCCUCUGGCCGACGAGGAGGGCCACGGGCGGAGCGAAGCGAAGCGGCGGACGGGCGAGCGAGGCGGGUGGGCGGGGAGCAAACCAACGGCGACCUCUUUCCCUCCCGCAUGCAUCCCGUUGUCUCUCCGCUGCCCUCUUGCGUGGAUCUGCCACCGGCGCCUGGAUCCCAUCCUCUCCGCCCUCCCCUCGCGCGGAUCCGCCAUUGGCGUUGACGGGAGGGGUGGAUCCGGUGACCUCUUCUCCUCCCGCAUGGAUCCCGUCAUCUCCCCGCUCCCUGCUCGCGCGGAUCCGCCGCUAGCGACAACAGGAGGGGCGGACCCAGCAGCCUCUCCUACGGUGACUACAACGAUUGGUGGACGUGGGCUGACCCAGUUCCCGGCAUCUGCUGCGGCGGCGACAGCGAAGUUGCCGAGGAUGGCAUCACGUGCGACUUCCUGCUCAAGCUGCUCCGGGCGGGGAGCAUGGUGGGUGCCGACGCGGCUCUGCUGCAGGAGCUGGAAUCCAGGGCGGUGCAUACCUCGCCUAGUCAGCUCUCGAGGCCGGGCUGCGGCCGACUGACUUCGAGGAGAUCUCGCCCGCGCCGUGCUUGCCAACGACCGACGUCCUUGACUCGCCGUCAGUUCCAGCCAUAACCGCCUAGCAUGGAAGCACACCAGAUAAGCACAUGGAUUUUGUUGGGCUACUGUGUUGUAACACAAGUUUGCCAAACAUUUAUGUGGCAUCAACAUCUAUCUUGGAAGUUGAAGCUGUAGAUAAACAUUAUCAACAACAAAAGCAGGAUGUAUCUUCUCGAAAACAACGGAAAAAGAUUUGGAUACAUAUUGGUAUGAGCAGACAGACCUCAAUCCCUGCACUGCACAACUGCAUUGCUCUUCGCAGGUGAAACGAAUCUAGACAUUACCACUAUAUGUUAAUUAAUUAGAUGGUACUUUUAGUUCAUUCAUAAACUACCUUACAAGUCUUGAUUAAUGGAAGUGUUUAUGUUAGUAAUUAUUCAAGCUCCUUGGGUAGAAUCUAAUGAAAUUGAAAUUGCAUACAAGGUUGAGUUCAUUGAUAACCUGAAAUCGACAUUGAUUGGAGGUGCCUUGACGUCCUAGAGGAAGAGCCUUACGAUUUAUAUUUUCUUGUAUUUUGGCCUGAGAAAAAAAUCUGUACAAUCAUGUUAGUGGGAGUGCUAGCUAAAAAUAGUGGAAAGAAAAGCGGGAUAGAAUCUGACUCGAGAUAGAAUAUGACUCCUGAAAGCUGGAGUAGGAAACAGUGUGGGGGAACCAGCCUGACUCGACGAAAGAAAAGCGGGAUAUAAUCUGACUCGGGGUAGAAUCUGACUCCUGACGUGGGCUGGGCAAAUUCCCUGACGUGGGUAUAUUCCUGUGUUCUAUUUUGAACCUGAUUUGUGCGUGAACCUGAACCUAGACUCCUGUGUUAUUUUUUGUUUUUUAUUUGUUCCUGGACUCCUGUGUUUUUGAACCUGAUUUGUAUGUGAACCUGAA